rnacentral:rRNA from 1 species
AGAGUUUGAUCCUGGCUCAGGAUAAACGCUGGCGGCGUGCUUUAUGCAUGCAAGUCGAACGGUUCUUCCCGCAAGGGGAGGACAGUGGCAAAUGGGUGAGUAGCGCAUAAGUGACCUGCCCCUAAGUAGGGGAUAACUCUGAGAAAUCGGAGCUAAUACCUUAUGUGGUGUUGGAGGUAGUGCUCCAUCACUAAAGCCUUCGGGUGCUUGGGGAGGGGCUUGUGUCCGAUUAGCUAGUUGGUAGGGUAAUGGCUUACCAAGGCGAGGAUCGGUAGCUGAUCUGAGAGGAUGAUCAGCCACACUGGGACUGGGAAACGGCCCAGACUCCUACGGGAGGCAGCAGCAAGGAAUUUUGUGCAAUGGGCGAAAGCCUGACACAGCGACGCCGCGUGGGGGAUGAAGGCCUUCGGGUCGUAAACCCCUUUUCUCAGGGAAGAAUAAUGACGGUACCUGAGGAAUAAGCCACAGCUAACUACGUGCCAGCAGCUGCGGUAAUACGUAGAUGGCGAGCGUUAUCCGGAUUUAUUGGGCGUAAAGAGGGCGCAGGCGGUCUUUCAAGUCGGAUGUAAAAUCUUCCUGCUUAACGGGAAGAGGUCGUCCGAUACUGUUGGGCUGGAGUGCAACAGAGGGAGGUAGAAUUCCCGGUGUAGUGGUGAAAUGCGUAGAUAUCGGGAGGAAUACCAGUGGCGAAGGCGGCCUCCUGGGUUGUUACUGACGCUGAUGCCCGAAAGUGUGGGGAGCAAACAGGAUUAGAUACCCUGGUAGUCC